UUGUUUAGGUCGGAUGUUUCCAAUGUGACACAGGCCAUCAUAUUCUUUAAAUUUCAGACUUGGCGGCAUUUCUUUGACAUUAAAACAUUUUUUUUUAUUUCAAUUAUUUUUCAAGAAUACAAUUAGAUAUUACAUAUAAGUAUAUUAUGACUGUUACUUUUUAAUAUAUGUUAUGUACAUGUUUCAUUUGUCAGAAAUGAUUUUGUUGAUAAUUGGUGUAUGAAAGAGACCUGUAAAUGUUCUAUUAAUAUUAAACUCCAUUUAUUAUAUAUAUAAACAAAAC